rnacentral:rRNA from 1 species
UUAUCAUAUUGAUUUUACUUUUAAUUUAAUUUUUUUAAAACAUUCAGUUUAUAAUUAUUUUAUUUUUAUCUGUGAAGGGGAGAUCACAUUUAAAUUUAUUAUAAAGUAUAAUUACUGUACCUUUUGUAUCAGGGUUAAUUUAAAUUUAAUUAAAAAUUUAGUUUUCUCGAAAGGAAAAGAUUUAAGGUAAUUUUCUUUUAGUGUAGAAAAAUUAAGAAAUAAAUUGCUUUAGGUUUGAUAAAAAUUUAGCUUUUUUAUAUCUAGUUACUUUGUGUUAUGAUUUAAUCAUUUAAAUAUUUGUAUUUUAUCUAUAAAUAUAAAUUAUAGUUAUGGGGAUAAGCUUGUAAUUAAUUUUAUAGUUAAGAAUUUAUAUUUAUUCAUUUAGUAUGCUUAGAAUUAGCUAAUUUUAGUAUGUAAAAAUUAUAUUAAUUAUAUUAAUAUUUUUGAAUAACUUUAAGG